AUACGGAGGAUGCGAGCGUUAUCCGGAUUUAUUGGGUUUAAAGGGUGCGUAGGCGGGCUGUUAAGCGUGAGGUGAAAGCUCGGGGCUCAACCCCGGAACUGCCUCGCGAACUGGCGGUCUUGAAUGUCCGUGCCGUGGGAGGAAUGUGUGGUGUAGCGGUGAAAUGCAUAGAGAUCACACAGAACACCGAUUGCGAAGGCAUCUCACGAAGGGGUGAUUGACGCUGAGGCACGAAAGCGUGGGGAUCAAACAGGAUUAGAUACCCUGGUAGUCCACGCAGUAAACGAUGAUAACUAACCGCUGGGUCGUAGUGAUUCAGUGGCCAAGCGAAAGCGAUAAGUUAUCCACCUGGGGAGUACGACCGCAAGGUUGAAACUCAAAUGAAUUGACGGGG
rnacentral:rRNA from 1 species